rnacentral:rRNA from 1 species
GACGAACGCUGGCGGCAUGCCUAAUACAUGCAAGUCGAGCGGACAGAAGGGAGCUUGCUCCCGGAAGUCAGCGGCGGACGGGUGAGUAACACGUGGGCAACCUGCCCCUUAGAUUGGGAUAACUUCGGGAAACCGAAGCUAAUACCGAAUAAUACAAGGAACCUCCUGGUUCUCUGUUGAAAGAUAGCCUUUGUGCUGUCACUAAGGGAUGGGCCCGCGGCGCAUUAGCUAGUUGGUAGGUAACGGCUUACCAAGGCGACGAUGCGUAGCCGACCUGAGAGGGUGAUCGGCCACACUAGGACUGAGACACGGCCCAGACUCCUACGGGAGGCAGCAGUAGGGAAUCUUCCGCAAUGGACGAAAGUCUGACGGAGCAAUGCCGCGUGAGUGAGGAAGGCCUUCGGGUCGUAAAGCUCUGUUGUGAGGGAAGAACAAGUACCGGCGUAACUACCGGUACCGUGACGGUACCUCACCAGAAAGCCACGGCUAACUACGUGCCAGCCGCCGCGGUAA